rnacentral:rRNA from 1 species
CCCUUAGAUGUUCUGGGCCGCACGCGCGCUACACUGACGAAGUCAGCGAGCAUCUCCUACGCCGAAAGGUGCGGGGAAUCUUGUGAAACUUUGUCGUGCUGGGGAUUGAUUUUUGAAAUUCUUGAUCAUAAACGAGGAAUUCCUAGUAAGCGCAAGUCAGCAGCUUGCGUUGAUUACGUCCCUGCCCUUUGUACACACCGCCCGUCGCUACUACCGAUUGAAUGGUUUAGUGAGAUGUUUGGACCGGAACUCUCUUGCUCAGCAAUGGGCGAGAGAGAGUCUGGGAAGUCCCUCUAACUGUAUCAUUUAGAGGAAGUAAAAGUCGUAACA